AAAAGUUGGUAACCAAACUGUAUAGUAAAAUCAGUUUGCCAGUCGAGAGUUCGGAAACUUGAACAGGUUAAACGUAAACAUUUGGGAUAAUUUAAGCGAUGUUUCCGCGGGAUCGUUGUUUAAUCAAAGAAAAAGAAAAACGCUAUUCUGUUGCUAUGUGACAAGUUACGCUGUUGUCCGCCAAUUACCAAGCGUAUAAUGCUCCAAUGCGUCUGGUUUUGCCAGCUAUUACUCCUACCUCCACAGGCCUUUUGGGUAAAGUAAAAAAAAGUAAAAAGUAUAUUAGUUAAACAAAAAGAGGA